CCAAUAGCGUAUAUUAAAGUUGUUGCAGUUAAAAAGCUCGUAGUUGAAUUUCAGGCCUGGCUGGACGGUCCGCCCUUCGGGUGAGUACUGUCUGUGGUCGGGUCCUACCUUCUGGCGAAGCGUCAUGGCCUUAACCGGCCGUGGCGGGGAACCAGGACUUUUACUGGGAAAAAAUUAGAGGGUUCAAAGCAGGCAAUCGCUGGGCUACAUUAGCAUGGAAUAAUGGAAUAGGACAAUGGUUCUAUUUGUUGGUUUCUAGGACCGUUGUAAUGAUUAAUAGGGAUAGUUGGGGGCAUUAGUAUUCAAUUGUCAGAGGUGAAAUUCUUGGAUUUAUUGAAGACUAACUACUGCGAAAGCAUUUGCCAAGGAUGUUUUCAUUAAUCAAGAACGAAAGUUAGGGGAUCGAAGACAAUCAGAUACCGUCGUAGUCUUAACCAUAAACUAUGCCGACUAGGAAUCGGGCGAUGUUGAAAAAAUGACGCGCUCGGCACCUCAUG
rnacentral:rRNA from 1 species